CUAACACAUGCAAGUCGAGCGGUAGCACAGAGAGCUUGCUCUCGGGUGACGAGCGGCGGACGGGUGAGUAAUGUCUGGGAAACUGCCUGAUGGAGGGGGAUAACUACUGGAAACGGUAGCUAAUACCGCAUAACGUCGCAAGACCAAAGUGGGGGACCUUCGGGCCUCAUGCCAUCAGAUGUGCCCAGAUGGGAUUAGCUAGUAGGUGGGGUAACGGCUCACCUAGGCGACGAUCCCUAGCUGGUCUGAGAGGAUGACCAGCCACACUGGAACUGAGACACGGUCCAGACUCCUACGGGAGGCAGCAGUGGGGAAUAUUGCACAAUGGGCGCAAGCCUGAUGCAGCCAUGCCGCGUGUGUGAAGAAGGCCUUCGGGUUGUAAAGCACUUUCAGCGGGGAGGAAGGCGUUAAGGUUAAUAACCUUGGCGAUUGACGUUACCCGCAGAAGAAGCACCGGCUAACUCCGUGCCAGCAGCCGCGGUAAUACGGAGGGUGCAAGCGUUAAUCGGAAUUACUGGGCGUAAAGCGCACGCAGGCGGUCUGUCAAGUCGGAUGUGAAAUCCCCGGGCUCAACCUGGGAACUGCAUUCGAAACUGGCAGGCUAGAGUCUUGUAGAGGGGGGUAGAAUUCCAGGUGUAGCGGUGAAAUGCGUAGAGAUCUGGAGGAAUACCGGUGGCGAAGGCGGCCCCCUGGACAAAGACUGACGCUCAGGUGCGAAAGCGUGGGGAGCAAACAGGAUUAGAUACCCUGGUAGUCCACGCCGUAAACGAUGUCGAUUUGGAGGUUGUGCCCUUGAGGCGUGGCUUCCGGAGCUAACGCGUUAAAUCGACCGCCUGGGGAGUACGGCCGCAAGGUUAAAACUCAAAUGAAUUGACGGGGGCCCGCACAAGCGGUGGAGCAUGUGGUUUAAUUCGAUGCAACGCGAAGAACCUUACCUGGUCUUGACAUCCACAGAACUUUCCAGAGAUGGAUUGGUGCCUUCGGGAACUGUGAGACAGGUGCUGCAUGGCUGUCGUCAGCUCGUGUUGUGAAAUGUUGGGUUAAGUCCCGCAACGAGCGCAACCCUUAUCCUUUGUUGCCAGCGGUUCGGCCGGGAACUCAAAGGAGACUGCCAGUGAUAAACUGGAGGAAGGUGGGGAUGACGUCAAGUCAUCAUGGCCCUUACGACCAGGGCUACACACGUGCUACAAUGGCAUAUACAAAGAGAAGCGACCUCGCGAGAGCAAGCGGACCUCAUAAAGUAUGUCGUAGUCCGGAUUGGAGUCUGCAACUCGACUCCAUGAAGUCGGAAUCGCUAGUAAUCGUAGAUCAGAAUGCUACGGUGAAUACGUUCCCGGGCCUUGUACACACCGCCCGUCACACCAUGGGAGUGGGUUGCAAAAGAAGUAGGUAGCUUAACCUUCGGGAGGGCGCUUACCACUUUGUGA
rnacentral:rRNA from 1 species